UGGCACUUAGUACAUACAUUAGUAUAAAAAUAAAGUUAAACAGGAUGAAGGAUGAAAGAGAAACUUUGCUAUAUCACCUAUGACAUCAAGAUGAAACAUUCCCCGAUGGUUGUGUAAUAAAUGUUUUGAGGAGCUAUUCCAACAGCAUUUAAUAAACGUUGAAAGACAAGGCAUCGCUGGGUCAAUGUUUAACACCAUACAAACGGCAAAUAUUGAUAUAUGAUUGAAUUGUUCAAGCAUAUCGUGCGCGUGAGGAUAAAUUAGCGAUCCGCUACAACAAAAAGAUAUGGUCUUUGUCGGCGGCGUUAUUUUGACAGAGGUGACAAAGGAUCGUGAUGGGUUUUGAACGUGUAUAUGAAACAAGAAUAUUAAGUAAAGUAUUACAGAAACUGACAAAGAGCUGACAGUAGUAACAAGAGCCAAAAGUUAAAAAAAGAAAUUUCAUAUUGUUAUUGUUUUAAAGUUAUACCUAUA